UUUGCCAUAUUUCAGGGAGGGGAAUUCCUUGUUUCAUAAAAGUCAACAAAAAUAACUUUAAAUUAUUUCCAGGAUGUAUUUUUUUGUUUAAAUAUAUUAAACUUAUAAAUUGAAAGGGACUUUCUACCAGCAAUUUUUUUUAAACGCUUCCCAUGGCCUUUUUAUCAAGCUAUGAAUAUGUAAUGAGGUAAAUUCUCCUAACGUUGGAAUGUGAUCCAUUCGGAAUUUCUCGGGUUUUAUUCAUUGAUAAUACUCGGAUUUUUCGGUGCUUUACAUUGCAGUUGAUGAUAGAAUGAUACUGUCUGUCCAUCCAUCUGCCUGAAAGGAUCUUCUCCCAGUUAGACAGUCUCAUCAGAGUCAUGUGGUGAGUCACUACCAACGCCUUGGAGGGAAAUACCAAUAUUGGACUCAAAACCCAUACAGUGAAUUGGUUAGAAAGUUUGGAUGAAGCACAUCCUGAACAUAUAUGGUAAAUUCUGGUGAAGAAACAGCUAGGUCCUGAAAAUAUAUACUUUAGAACAUUCAAUAAACUUAGUCAAAUGAUGAAUAGUUUAUGUAUCAUUAUCAUAAUUAUAAUGAAUACCAAAACAGUUCAGAUAGUCACUAUUGCAAAUCCCAAUGGAUUAUUAGACUUAAAGACUGCAUUGAUCUUGGUCUUUAUAUAUAAUAAGUUCUCGACAUAUCCAUUUUUUAUAGGAAUAACAGGUUUUUCGCAAAAUAUUUACCAAUUUUUUUGAAAAAUGAGAGUAUUUUAGUGUAAAUAAUACAUUUUCCAAGAGAAAACAUCAUUAUAGCAAUGUCUGACUAAGCAAUGACUUAACUCUUAGAGUUUAAAUGGAUUAUUUUUAUUUUCUCGGUCAAAAUUUGGGAUUUUUCAAAAUUAUAGUUUUUUUUCAUGCAGGUAUAGGGCUAACCAAAUUCCAUCUAGGAUAAAUAUCAAUCAGCCAAAUACAAUGAAAUUAGGUUCAACUGAAAGCUAAGAUUGUAAGCUUUAAUAUGAUACCAAACAUGUGUAAAAAUCUCCAAUUUUCCGUUAAAUUUUUGCAUAACUGCGCAAAUAUUUGAAAAAAUCCGCGAUUUUCAAAAUUGUCAAAACAUUUCUUAUUUUUGACCAUUUUUUAAAUUUGUAUUGCAUUAAAUUCUAUUAAUAUAUGGCAAAAAGGUGCUUUUACAUGUAAAGUCACAGUAGCAGUCACUAACUUCUGUGAA